rnacentral:rRNA from 1 species
CCUACGGGAGGCAGCAGUGGGGAAUAUUGCACAAUGGGGGAAACCCUGAUGCAGCGACGCCGCGUGAGUGAAGAAGUAAUUCGUUACGUAAAGCUCUAUCAGCAGGGAAGAAACACUGACCUUACGGUCAGCAGACGGUACCUGAGUAAGAAGCCCCGGCUAACUACGUGCCAGCAGCCGCGGUAAUACGUAGGGGGCAAGCGUUAUCCGGAUUUACUGGGUGUAAAGGGAGCGUCGACGGUGCGCCAAGGCUGGAGUGAAAUGCCGCGGCUUAACUGCGGAACUGCUUUGGAAACUGGCGAACUAGAGUGCGGGAGGGGUAAGCGGAAUUCCUAGUGUAGCGGUGAAAUGCGUAGAUAUUAGGAGGAACACCGGUGGCGAAGGCGGCUUACUGGACCGUAACUGACGUUGAGGCUCGAAAGCGUGGGGAGCAAACAGGAUUAGAUACCCCGGUAGUC